rnacentral:misc_RNA from 1 species
GGAAGUAAAAAGUCGUAACAAGGUCUCCGUUGGUGAACCAGCGGAGGGAUCAUUACCGAGUUUACAACUCCCAAACCCAAUGUGAACCAUACCAAACUGUUGCCUCGGCGGGGUCACGCCCCGGGUGCGUCGCAGCCCCGGAACCAGGCGCCCGCCGGAGGGACCAACCAAACUCUUUCUGUAGUCCCCUCGCGGACGUUAUUUUUACAGCUCUGAGCAAAAAUUCAAAAUGAAUCAAAACUUUCAACAACGGAUCUCUUGGUUCUG